GGAUGUGAGGGUGAUCUGGCUGGGACAUCUAUCACCCAUUGAUCGCCAGGGUUGAUUCACUGAUCUGGCUGGCUAGGCGGGUGUCCCCUUCCUCCCUCACCACUCCAUGUGUGUCCCUCCUGAAGCUGUGUGCUUGCUCUAAGAGGAUGGCCUCCCCUGAAUAGGGAUGGACCAGUCUUCCAUCAAGGGUGUAUGAAUAGCUGCACUCCCCUGCUAGAACCUCCAAACAAUUUCUCAAGAAUUAACUGAUUGUAUUAAUUAUUUUUUCACUAGUUGCACAUUUCUUGAUUGGUGUUACUUUAUAGUAAAUCUUGAAGUUA
ensembl:misc_RNA 7SK 7SK RNA